GAUGAACGCUGGCGGCGUGCCUAAUACAUGCAAGUCGAGCGAACGGACGAGAAGCUUGCUUCUCUGAUGUUAGCGGCGGACGGGUGAGUAACACGUGGAUAACCUACCUAUAAGACUGGGAUAACUUCGGGAAACCGGAGCUAAUACCGGAUAAUAUUUUGAACCGCAUGGUUCAAAAGUGAAAGACGGUCUUGCUGUCACUUAUAGAUGGAUCCGCGCUGCAUUAGCUAGUUGGUAAGGUAACGGCUUACCAAGGCAACGAUGCAUAGCCGACCUGAGAGGGUGAUCGGCCACACUAGAACUGAGACACGGUCCAGACUCCUACGGGAGGCAGCAGUAGGGAAUCUUCCGCAAUGGGCGAAAGCCUGACGGAGCAACGCCGCGUGAGUGAUGAAGGUCUUCGGAUCGUAAAACUCUGUUAUUAGGGAAGAACAUAUGUGUAAGUAACUGUGCACAUCUUGACGGUACCUAAUCAGAGAGCCACGGCUAACUACGUG
rnacentral:rRNA from 1 species